AACAUCAAACGCAGGCAUUCCAUCAGCUCUCUCUCUCUCUCUGUCAAACUUUUUUGUUAAUAACGUUUGUAAAUCUCCCAAUGAGGGCUUCUAAGGUCUCGGCUCUUCUUCUUCUUCUUCUUCUGGGCCUGGUGGCUCUUCCAACGAAGGGCCUGAUGCCCUACUCUCGGAGCCUUUGGGACAUGAUGUUGCCUAGCGAUGAUCCUUUCCGAAUCCUGGAGCAGGCUCCCUUCACCAUGCCCAAGGCCGUGG
rnacentral:lncRNA from 1 species